CCAGACUCCUACGGGAGGCAGCAGUGGGGAAUAUUGCACAAUGGGCGGAAGCCUGAUGCAGCAACGCCGCGUGCGGGAUGACGGCCUUCGGGUUGUAAACCGCUUUCGCCUGUGACGAAGCGUGAGUGACGGUAAUGGGUAAAGAAGCACCGGCUAACUACGUGCCAGCAGCCGCGGUGAUACGUAGGGUGCGAGCGUUGUCCGGAUUUAUUGGGCGUAAAGGGCUCGUAGGUGGUUGAUCGCGUCGGAAGUGUAAUCUUGGGGCUUAACCCUGAGCGUGCUUUCGAUACGGGUUGACUUGAGGAAGGUAGGGGAGAAUGGGAUUCCUGGUGGAGCGGUGGAAUGCGCAGAUAUCAGGAGGAACACCAGUGGCGAAGGCGGUUCUCUGGGCCUUUCCUGACGCUGAGGAGCGAAAGCGUGGGGAGCGAACAGGCUUAGAUACCCUGGUAGUCCACGCUGUAAACGGUGGGUACUAGGUGUGGGGUCCAUUCCGCGGGUUCCGUGCCGUAGCUAACGCUUUAAGUACCCCGCCUGGGGAGUACGGCCGCAAGGCUAAAACUCAAAGGAAUUGACGGGGGCCCGC
rnacentral:rRNA from 1 species